rnacentral:lncRNA from 1 species
GUUCCUUACGGACAUCUCUGGUGAAUAAUCUGAGAAGGCCUCACUUAUAAUUUGGCUUGAAGAAAACACGAGAGCAAGUCAUGCAAUGUUCAAGUAAGAGUGCAGCAGUCAGAAGAAAAAGCUAUGCAAGGGCCCUAAGGUUGAAAGUGUUCUUAGUGUCUUUGAGAAACAUCAAGGAAUGUGCAAAAGGCAGAAUGAUAGAAGAUGAGAUCAGAGAGGGGAAGUAAAUUCAACAACAGAAAUUGAGGAUGAGGAACAUGGUGUUGCAGUUCAAACCAGUUCCAGCCAAAAUGGACUCUAGUCACAAACAAAUAGUAAUAACAAUCCAAACUUGUGGCUGAAUAGAGUUCUGAAGUUUUGAGAAAGAGGUAAAGAUAUGAAAUAGUUGUCUAGGAGCAGGCAAAAAAAUGGCUUAGAGAAAUUACAAUUGCUACUUAGCACUAAGGGGCCACUUGAGAUUAGAGGUGAUACAUGAAGAGUGAGAUUUGAACUGAGUUUUAAAGAAUGUUAAGAACUUGG